UACGGGGGGGGCAAGCGUUGUUCGGAAUUACUGGGCGUAAAGGGCUCGUAGGCGGCCAACUAAGUCGGAUGUGAAAUCCCCAGGCUUAACCUGGGAACUGCAUCCGAUACUGGAUGGCUUGAAUCCGGGAGAGGGAUGCAGAAUUCCAGGUGUAGCGGUGAAAUGCGUAGAUAUCUGGAGGAAUACCGGUGGCGAAGGCGGCAUCCUGGACCGGCAUUGACGCUGAUGAACGAAAGCCAGGGGAGCAAACGGG
rnacentral:rRNA from 1 species